UCUUUAGCGGUGCCCUGUGUUGGGGAGAGGGAAGAGGAUGAGGGGAGUAAGGGAUGCACUGUGUUUGAGGGGAGAGAAUGUCCUUCUUUAGGGUUCGUGGUGAGUGUCCUGUGCUGGGGUGAGGGGUGAGGUGUACAGGGGACAAGUGAGGGGCAUACCUGUGUAACUAGAACCUCUCAGUUUUCACGGUUUCAGCUUUAAUCCCCAAAGAUCUCAGGUAACAUUUCACACGUUGGGAUUAUUUAAUUAAAUUCUAUAUCUGGCUCGGCGCUCCCUUGUUCCGGGUUAAAUGUUUGGGCUGGAUGAUAAAAUUCUUAAAAUCCAUACAAACUUCAAUUAAACUGGAAUGUUUUAUUUGUAUCCUCUUUAAAACGAAGAGAGAGAGAGAGAGAGAGAGAGAGAGAGAGAGAGAGAGAGAGAGAGAGAGAGAGAGAGAGAGAGAGAGAGAUUAACGAAAAGAUACUAAGAAAGAAUUAUUUAAGCAUCUUUUUGUGUUUUACGACGAAAGGAAAACCAAGAUACACUUAGCGGCGACAUAAAUAAUACAUUUUCAUUACUCGUACGUGGGGAGUCUUCGGGAGAGGCUUCGUGUCAGGCGGGCAAGGGAGACAGAGGAGACCAUGUGCGUGUCAGAGCAGCGUGGAGAGCCUUAACACCUGGCACGUAAGGGUCAGGAUGGCGAGACACCCUGACACGUGUGCGGGAGAGAAGCUGCCGUCCACUGCUUUCCCCUCCACCUCACACUCCCCCAGCCUCACGUGUUGCCACUCCUCCACCCAGGGCUCACGGUCUUCAGUUGGUGCAUGUUGGUGGUGGUGGUUGUGCUGGUGGUGUUGAGUCGUGAUGAGGCUUGUGUCGGGAGCAAAUAAUGGCAGGAGGAAAUCGACCCGCUGGCAUCCACCUCCAGUUUGGGGUCGUGGAGCAUCUCUUGCAUCAGUAGCGUUAGUGCUGUUACAGUGUGCGGUAGUGUGUUACCGGUCUCCGCCGUGGGUGUUAAACAGACACUUGCCAGGACGCGAUUACUCCUUCAAGAGGGAGACAGAACACAAGUCGUGGAUUUUAAGUUCCCUAAGUGGGUGUGGCGUCUAGUUAGCGCGUCACAGUGAGCGUGGAUGCCUCACACACGCUUAAUUUGAGUUAUCACAUAAAAGUACCAUUAAUUAAUAUACGGUGGAGGGAAAAAAGAGAGAGAAAAAAUAUUAGACCCACAGCUGGGGGAAAUUACUGAAUCAAGGAUGUGGUGGAGUGGAUGUGUGGAUGCCUAGAGUGGGCUCCAACCAAGCUGUGGAAGGUCUAUUGGCACUGAACUGUGGAGUGAAUACGAGUUAACACGAGGUGAGGAGUGGAAACCUGAGUGACUUCGAAGACAUGAGGAGGCAGAGGAAAUACAGUUAGCGGCAAGGUGACAGUGACCGCUGCGUGGAGGAAAUAGCGCUGAGUGACCAUGAGGCACGAGACCCUGGGAAUGUCCUAUCAUGUCUCGCGAGGACAGGAAGACAAAGGACGCCAUUAAUCUCCCAUAAAGUAAAGAGAAGAGAGAGAGAGGGAGGGAGAGAGGAAUAAGAAGAAAAGAAAGGAAAAUUAGCACAUGUUAUAUCCACACUAAACUGAGGACCUGAGAGAGAGAGAGAGAGGAAAACAAGUGAUAAAAUGAAACUGACCUAAGAUAACUGAAAAUCGAGAAAAAAAUAAAUAAAUAACGAGAAAUCCGGUUUCCCUUUGAUUCUCUGACGUAUUUCCCUCGACGAGCAUUGUGAGAGAGAGUCCCCGAUGUGAGAGAGAGCGUUGUGAGAGGCAGGGAGAGGUGGGAGAGGGCUUCCUUCUGGACCCGGAGCUCGCAACAACACCACCACCACCACCUCCUCCUCCUCCUCCUCCUCCUCCUCCGUCAGCGUCGUCAGAAUGGGAAACCAACACUCAGAAUUUAAGCAAAGUCGCUCUCUGCCCAACUCUCCACACAUCAAGCGGUUGGGGUCGCCGUACAAGGGGCAUGUCAGCAGCGGCGGCGUCGGAGGCGGCAGUGCCAUCCCCACUCCGGCACUGGGAGGGCGCAGACCUCCCCCGGAUCACCAUGGCCGGAUCUUAAGGAGUGCCACGCCUGCGUCUUCGUCAGGAGCUUCUACAGGUAGGUCAUGGAGUGCUUAGCCUUAUUUUGGGGGUUUUCAGGCUUUUUUCUUGUUUUGUUUUAUGGUGGGUGGUUAGGGAAGUCCCCCCCGUGUCGCUUCCCCGCCAGGCGCCUCGCAGGGGAAGUCCAGGGGCAGCUGCAUCCCGUGGGAGGGUCUGCCACGCCUGAAGGCCCGCCAGGAAAUCUUUAUCCUUGUUUUAAUGCUCAAAAAACACGGAGGCUGCUUUUUUUCCGGUGGCGGGGCGCGGCGGGGAGCUGAGCGUCGUGGCGUGGCAUGGCGUGGCGUGGCGUGGGGAGGCGUGGACAGGAUCACUUUCAUUACUACUAAUUUUCACGUUUCUUCUACUCUACUUAUUCCUCCAUUUUACCUUCCUUUCUGUCCCCCUCUUAACAAACCGACCAAUCAGGACCACGGUAGUCGCGCCCCCACCCUGUGCGAACCCUCCAUCUGUGUCAACUCCGCAGUGGCGACGACAAGACGACCUUUCGCGGCGGUAAUGAGAGAGGAAGUGAAAAGUGCGCGGGGCUCAUUAAAGCAGACAUGUGGGGGGAAGGGGGCCGUGGUAUUGAAAAGGGCGCGCCGUACCCUUAUCUCCUUAUCCCCUCGCCUCCUCCCCCCUUCCGCCCCCACACACCCCUCUCGUCCAUCCUCGUCAACUUGAGGAAAUGUUGACGGGUAAAAGCACCUAGAGGGUCGAUGAUGCUUCUCUGGUUAUUAGCAUUCAUAUUUUUUUCCUCUACAGUUUCUCUUCCCAGCUUGUCUGUUUUUCCUUUAACAUGC